GGAUGAGCUUUAUAAAUUAUAAAUUGAUAAAACCAUAUUCUAUUUCUUACAUGCAAAAAGACAAAAGUAUGGUUCAGAUUGUCAAGUUUGUUUAUGUUAUGAUUAUCGUACUCUCCUCAUUUGUUGUUGCAAUAAAUAGUGACGGCUAUCUUGAAUGUACUACAGACUAUGAUUGUAGAGAAGAAUGGUUGUGCCCGCCAGAUAUGGAAGCAAAGUGUUUUGUUAGUUUUGCUUUAGCCCGCUUCCUCUCAAAAGGAAAAUGUUUAUGUGUUUGAGUGAUAAGCCUAAUUGAUUCUAUUACAAAAUAUCAAGAGCUAUCAAUUAUUGGAAUAGGAAUAUCUAUUAACAAUUAACAAUUAUCAACAAAUAGAAUGUUUAAUGUGAGAUCUUAACAAGUUAAAAAGUAAGAUUCAACGUGUUAAUUUUGAAUGUAGUUUCAUAAUUGGGUUGUAAAAGAAUAAUGAUUAUGAUUGACUCAUAAUUUAUAUAUGACUGGUGCUAAUCACACCAAAAAAAAAAUAAGUUACACCCAAAUUUAUUUAAAA